rnacentral:tRNA from 1 species
GGCUCUGUAGCUCAGUGGUUAGAGCAGGGGAUUCAUAAGCCCAAGGUCACAAGUUCAAAUCUCGUCAGAGCCA